CUGCUUCCCGAGCCGUCUUGAAUGGAAUCUGCAUAGUCUUAUUGUAAUUUAGUACCAACAUAUUUGAGGCCAGCCAUUCUUCUAGUUUCUGAAGAGCUCUUCUACUUUCAGAUUCCAUAUCAUGCUGACUGUUACUUUUCAAUAAAAUACUUACAUCAUCAGCGUAUAAAACACAGUGUGCUGGCUCAAGGUGUGAUGGCAAGUCAUUAAUAUAUAGAAGGAAAAGCAGAGGACCAAGGACUGAUCCCUGAGGGACCCCACUCCUCGCCUGUAACCAUUCCGACUGAUACACAAAAGAGUGAGACUGUAUUUCCACCCGCUGAUGUCUCUCAUCAAAGUGCCUCCUCUGGAAAUUUCGUAGCAGGAUUGCUGUUCUAUUACAUUGAUCGCAAAACGGUGUUCCUAUCCUAUGCUCUGUCGGCACUAUUUUUGUCUUUCCUCUUCAUGUGCAUCAAUCAUAUUACAAAUGAUGAUAAAAAUGAAAAGUCUGUGAAAGACAAUACUUGUAACUCAUGAAACAAUUAAAAUGUAUUUUCAAUUAAA
rnacentral:misc_RNA from 1 species